UAUAUAUAUAUAUAUAUAUAUGGUAAACGGAAGAUGGAAUAUACUAGAAUUUAUUAAUCACGACAAUUGUUUCGACACAUCUAGCAUCGAUCCCUCACGAGUGGGACACUCAACAGCUGGUUCAAGAGCAU